rnacentral:miRNA from 1 species
AUCUUUUAGAACGGCCAUCUGAUG